ACCUAUGUGGCUUAGCGGUUUGAGCGUUGGACUAUGACCCUGGAGACCAGGGUUCGAUUCCCAGCUCAGCCA